UACGUAGGGUGCAAGCGUUAUCCGGAAUUAUUGGGCGUAAAGAGCUCGUAGGCGGUUUGUCGCGUCUGCUGUGAAAACCCGAGGCUCAACCUCGGGCCUGCAGUGGGUACGGGCAAACUAGAGUGCGGUAGGGGAGAUUGGAAUUCCUGGUGUAGCGGUGGAAUGCGCAGAUAUCAGGAAGAACACCAAUGGCGAAAGCAGCUCUCUGGGACGGUACUGACGCUGAGACGCGAAAGCGUGGGGAGCGAACAGG
rnacentral:rRNA from 1 species